rnacentral:lncRNA from 1 species
UGGGACAAAUGGUUCUUCUGGGUAAUUUAAACAUUAGGAAGUAUCAUCAGAUCCGAGACAAAGCAAGCCUUGCAACAUUUUCAAACUCAACACUUUAUUCACCUUUUAUGGCUGUCAUCCCCUGUCAACCUCAUCAUCCAUUGAUGUACAAACAUGGAAAGGAGAUUUCAACUCAGAUUGCCUUGUCAUCAUCAUGCUCACAAUACUCGAUUAAAGCCUUUUCCUAGGGACCAUGAAAGUGAUUGCCCCAAGCUUGUUUUCCACUUCAAUUGCGUUAUCAUCAGCCUUUUGAGUGUGAAUUUGCCCCAAGUACGCUCCUGAGGGUGAAGUGUAACUUAGAGGAAAACCAUAUAAGGGGAAUUUUGGGCCUUUCGAACUCUGUGUUAAGGUUGUGAUAUGCACAAAUCCCUAAGGUUUUUCAAGGCACUCAGGACAUUUAGGGCUUGGCUCAUUUGCCCCUUUAAUUGUUGGAUAUCAACUUUCAUCCCUUCUUGAACUUCUCCUUGGUUCUCCAAGAUCUGGUAACUGGUUCGAGUCCUUUAGGGUAUCUUGGAUUUUUUUCUUUUGAAAUUUUAUUAGAUGAAACAAGAAGAGAAAAAGAAAAAUAAAAAUGAAAAGAAAAGAAAAGACAACGUAGUUCAAAUUCUCUAGUCAGAAAUUAUAAACCUGUGAAAACAUCUUCUCAGUAUAAUUUGGAAAUAAACACGAAACAGAGUCAAUAGGGUGGCCCAUCAUUGAGAAGUUCCCAAGACGUGAGGCAUAGGAAGUCUUGGUCAACUAUCUUGACCCUUGGCCAUUACAUUCUUCAUCUCUCUGAUCAAUUUCAUGCAGCGAUUGAGGAAUGUUUCAACCCCCUUAAAUAGGUUAAAGAUCAGCACUGCAAUCUCAGCAUCAGCUAAAAGCUUAGGGACGUCUUCACUUACUUCAUUAGCAAGGGAAGCUAAUUGUGAGAAGCUUCAUUUUCAAUUCGCCCUUGUUCAACAACAUGUUCCUUCAUUUGAAUUAUCAAUUCUUGAUUUAUACUUUUUAGCCAGAUGCCAACAUUCCUUCAAUCUUGC